GACGAACGCUGGCGGCGUGCCUAAUACAUGCAAGUCGAGCGGACUUUCAAGAAGCUUGCUUUUUGAAAGUUAGCGGCGGACGGGUGAAUAACACGCGGGCAACCUGCCUGUAAGACGGGGAUAACUCCGGGAAACCGGGGCUAAUACCGGAUAAUAUCUUUCUUCGCAUGAAGGAAGGUUGAAAGGCGGCGCAAGCUGCCGCUUGCAGAUGGGCCCGCGGCGCAUUAGCUAGUUGGUGAGGUAACGGCUCACCAAGGCGACGAUGCGUAGCCGACCUGGGAGGGUGAGCGGCCACACUGGGACUGGGACACGGCCCAGACUCCUACGGGAGGCAGCAGGAGGGAAUCUUCCGCAAUGGACGAAAGUCUGACGGAGCAACGCCGCGUGAGCGAAGAAGGUCUUCGGAUCGUAAAGCUCUGUUGUCAGGGAAGAACAAGUACCGUUCGAAUAGGGCGGUACCUUGACGGUACCUGACCAGAAAGCCACGGCUAACUACGUGCCAGCCGCCGCCGUAA
rnacentral:rRNA from 1 species